rnacentral:rRNA from 1 species
CUGGCUCAGAUUGAACGCUGGCGGCGUGCUUAACACAUGCAAGUCGAACGCGAAAGGGACUUCGGUCCUGAGUAAAGUGGCGCACGGGUGAGUAACGCGUGGAUAAUCUGCCCUUAUGAUCGGGAUAACAGUUGGAAACGGCUGCUAAUACCGGAUACGCUCAAAAUGAACUUUUUGAGGAAAGAUGGCCUCUGCUUGCAUGCUAUCACGUAAGGAUGAGUCCGCGUCCCAUUAGCUUGUUGGCGGGGUAACGGCCCACCAAGGCAACGAUGGGUAGCCGAUUUGAGAGGAUGAUCGGCCACACUGGAACUGAAACACGGUCCAGACUCCUACGGGAGGCAGCAGUGGGGAAUAUUGCGCAAUGGGCGAAAGCCUGACGCAGCGACGCCGCGUGAAGGGAUGAAGGUUUUCGGAUCGUAAACCUCUGUCAGAAGGGAAGAAACUACGUUGUGCUAAUCAGCAGCGUACUGACGGUACCUUCAAAGGAAGCACCGGCUAACUCCGUGCCAGCCGCAGC